AAAAGAACCAAAUGCAAUAAUCAUUGCCCCUGCAUUUGAAACAGGCAAUGUACAACGCUAAAAAUAAAACCAAGAAAGUCCGAUUGGCGUUUCUAAUUUAUUGCAUUUGAAGGCUGCAAAUAUGAAACUGCUAGAAAUUCUUCAAAUAAGAAGAAUAAUCUGCCAAAUUACUCACAAAUCAUCCACAUUGAGAUCAAUGAUUGAUGGGAAGCAUCAACGUUCAACAAGGUUAGAAAAGCUUUCAUGGUUUGAUGGUAUAUAAGUUUCAUCCCCACAGCCUCCACCCGGUAUUAUUUUUAUUUCUUGAGAAAUGAGGAACCAAAACAAUAUAUGAUGAGAUACCAAAACCAUUGAUCAGGUGCUGAGUGAGAUGGGGCUUCUAAUGUAGCAGAGAAAACCUAGCUAAACCAUCGUGAGUGAGGUAAAGAAACCAUCAUUGAUGGGCUAACUUUCUGAUGUAUCUG
rnacentral:misc_RNA from 1 species